GGGAGGCAGCAGUAAGGAAUUUUGCGCAAUGGGCGAAAGCCUGACGCAGCAACGCCGCGUGAGUGAUGAAGGCUUUCGGGUCGUAAAGCUCUGUCGAGGGGAAAGAAGUGUAUUGUGGCUAAUAUCCACGAUACUUGACGGUACCCCUAAAGGAAGCACCGGCUAACUCCGUGCCAGCAGCCGCGGUAAUACGGGGGGUGCAAGCGUUGUUCGGAAUUAUUGGGCGUAAAGAGCGUGUAGGCGGUUUGUUUAGUCUGAUGUGAAAGCCCUGGGCUCAACCCAGGAAGUGCAUUGGAUACUGGCAGACUUGAAUACGGGAGAGGGUAGUGGAAUUCCUAGUGUAGGAGUGAAAUCCGUAGAUAUUAGGAGGAACACCGGUGGCGAAGGCGGCUGCCUGGACCGAUAUUGACGCUGAGACGCGAAAGCGUGGGUAGCAAACAGGAUUAGAUACCCCGGUAGUCC
rnacentral:rRNA from 1 species